AGGAGCCGUGCGAGAUGAAAGUCUCAUGCACGGUUUUGAAUGAGAGAAAGAAGACAGAGAUCUUUGGAGAUGAUUCCGUACUACAAUUUGGGGAUUUGUCAUUCGGGGGGAAGUAGACUACUCAAG
rnacentral:ncRNA from 1 species